rnacentral:lncRNA from 1 species
UUUGAUAAUGUCCAUUUUUCAGCACCUGUUUGUAACACAGAUUAGUAUUUCAAUCUCGGAGCGGACAUUUUAUUGUAGGUUUUUACUGAGAUUGACGGACCUAGCAAGCGAUUUUUACUGCAUUGCCAUUUCUUUUUUCUAGGAAAAGUCUUGAGAGAUAUCUGCAAAAGGUUUUUUUAUGAACCUUCAGUACAUGUAUGCCCUGCUGACUGCAAAUUUUCAGGUCGAUUGGACUUGUAGUUUCAGAGAAUAUGUGGAUUUUUUUUUCAGAAGAGACGUAAGAACAAUAAUAAAAUAAAAAUUUUCUUGAAUAAUUGAGAGUUUGUUCCUUCAAUAAACUGUCAUAAAUAAACAGUCAUACAUAUUGAUUGAUUGAUUAGUUGGUUGAUUGAUUGGUUGGUUGGUUGGUUGGUUGAUUAAACACGUUUGAUAGGGUCACUUAGAACAAGGGGAAAAAGACCUCAAGAGACCUUGCAUCCCGUAUUAAACGCAUGACACGGAAACAUACAUUAAGUGAUUGAUUGGUUGGUUGGUUGGUUGGUUAAACACAUUGGUUAAACAUGUUGGUUUAAACACGUUGGUUAAACACGUUGGCUGGUUAAACACGUUUGAUAGGCUCAAUUUAAACAAGCGAAAAAAAAAACAUCUUGGAUCCCGUAUUUAACACAUGAAACGGAAACAUGCAUUGAUUUAUUGGUUGGUUGGUUGGUUGGUUAAACACGUUGGUUAAACAUGUGGUUAAACACGGUUAAACACGUUGGCUGGUUAAACACGUUUGAUAGGCUCAAUUUUAACAAACGAAAAAAAAACCAUCUCGGAUCCCGUAUUUAACACAUGAAACGGAAACAUGCAUUGAUUGAUUGAUUGGUUGGUUGGUUGGUUAAACACGUUGGUUAAACACGUUGGUUAAACACGUUGGUUAAACACGUUGGUUAAAAUUGGUUGGUUAACACCUUGGUUAAACAUAUUGGUUAAACACGUUGGCUGGUUAAACACGUUUGGAUAGGCUCAAUUUAAACAGCGCUCAAUUUAAACGAGCGAAAAAAAAAACAUCUUGGAUCCCGUAUUUAACACAUGAAACGGAAACAUGCAUUGAUUGAUUGAUUGAUUGAUUGAGGUGGUUGGUUGGUUAGUUAAUCAUGUUGGUUAAACACGUUGGUUAAACAAGUUGGCUGGUUAAACACGUUAGAUAGGCUCAAUUUAAACAAGCGAAAAAAACCAUCUUGGAUCCCGUAUUUAACACAUGAAACGGAAACAUGCAUUGAUUGAUUGAUUGAUUGGUUGGUUGGUUGGUUGGUUGGUUGGUUGGUUGGUUGUUGGUUGUUGGUUAAACACGUUGGUUAAACACGUUAGUUAAACAUAUUUGUUAAACAUGUUGGUUAAACACGUUUGAUAGGCUCAAUUAAAACAAGCGAAAAAAAAAGAGACGUUGAAUCCCGUAUCAAACACAUGAAACGGAAACAUUGAUUGAUUGAUUGAUUGAUUGAUUGAUUGAUUGAUUGAUUGAUUGAUUGAUUGAUUGGUUGGUUGGUUGGUUGGUUGGUUGGUUGGUUGGUUGAUUGAUUGGUUGGUUGGUUGGUUGGUUGGUUGGUUGGUUGGUUGAAAUUCAAACACACAUAAAACUGUUUAAAUAGUGCCAAAACCACAUAAUUUGAUGACCUUGACCUUUGACCUUGUGACCUUCGUCAAGGUCAUUGCUCCACAAGGUCAUUGCAAAAGACCCUAUGGGUCAAGGACCUUUGUUUAAGAGUUUUGCCUAAAUAUGGCUUUUUAAAAACCAUCGAUGGGAGUUAUGUCCCUUACAUGAUGGUAAAAUCAAUAUAGUCAUAAUGUAAAAAAGUUGCCCCU